GAUGAACGCUGGCGGCGUGUUUAACACAUGCAAGUCGAGCGAUGAAGUUUCCUUCGGGCAAUGGAUUAGCGGCGGACGGGUGAGUAACACGUGGGUAACCUGCCUCAUAGAGUGGAAUAGCCUUCCGAAAGGAAGAUUAAUACCGCAUAAUGUUGAAAGAUGGCAUCAUCAUUCAACCAAAGGAGCAAUCCGCUAUGAGAUGGACCCGCGGCGCAUUAGCUAGUUGGUGGGGUAACGGCCUACCAAGGCGACGAUGCGUAGCCGACCUGAGAGGGUGAUCGGCCACAUUGGGACUGAGACACGGCCCAGACUCCUACGGGAGGCAGCAGUGGGGAAUAUUGCACAAUGGGGGAAACCCUGAUGCAGCAACGCCGCGUGAGUGAUGAAGGUUUUCGGAUCGUAAAGCUCUGUCUUUGGGGAAGAUAAUGACGGUACCCAAGGAGGAAGCCACGGCUAACUACGUGCCAGCAGCCGCGGUAAUACGUAGGUGGCGAGCGUUAUCCGGAUUUACUGGGCGUAAAGGGAGCGUAGGCGGAUGAUUAAGUGGGAUGUGAAAUACCCGGGCUCAACUUGGGUGCUGCAUUCCAAACUGGUUAUCUAGAGUGCAGGAGAGGAGAGUGGAAUUCCUAGUGUAGCGGUGAAAUGCGUAGAGAUUAGGAAGAACACCAGUGGCGAAGGCGACUCUCUGGACUGUAACUGACGCUGAGGCUCGAAAGCGUGGGGAGCAAACAGG
rnacentral:rRNA from 1 species